rnacentral:rRNA from 1 species
ACCAGACUCCUACGGGAGGCAGCAGUGGGGAAUAUUGCACAAUGGGGGAAACCCUGAUGCAGCGACGCCGCGUGGGCGACGAAGCGCUCCGGCGCGUAAAGCCCUGUCAGCAGGGAAGAACAAAGACAGUACCUGACCAAGAAGCCCCGGCUAACUACGUGCCAGCAGCCGCGGUAAUACGUAGGGGGCAAGCGUUAUCCGGAUUCACUGGGCGUAAAGGGAGCGCAGGCGGCACGGCAAGUCUGGUGUGAAAGCCCGGGGCCCAACCCCGGGACUGCAUUGGAAACUGCGAGGCUGGAGUGUCGGAGAGGCAGGCGGAAUUCCUAGUGUAGCGGUGAAAUGCGUAGAUAUUAGGAGGAACACCAGUGGCGAAGGCGGCCUGCUGGACGAUGACUGACGCUGAGGCUCGAAAGCGUGGGGAGCAAACAGGAUUAGAUACCCGCGUAC